GACGAACGCUGGCGGCGUGCCUAAUACAUGCAAGUAGAACGCUGAAGGAGGAGCUUGCUUCUCUGGAUGAGUUGCGAACGGGUGAGUAACGCGUAGGUAACCUGCCUGGUAGCGGGGGAUAACUAUUGGAAACGAUAGCUAAUACCGCAUAAGAUUGACUAUUGCAUGAUAGUCAGUUAAAAGGUGCAAUUGCAUCACUACCAGAUGGACCUGCGUUGUAUUAGCUAGUUGGUGGGGUAACGGCUCACCAAGGCGACGAUACAUAGCCGACCUGAGAGGGUGAUCGGCCACACUGGGACUGAGACACGGCCCAGACUCCUACGGGAGGCAGCAGUAGGGAAUCUUCGGCAAUGGACGGAAGUCUGACCGAGCAACGCCGCGUGAGUGAAGAAGGUUUUCGGAUCGUAAAGCUCUGUUGUAAGAGGAGAACGAGUGUGAGAGUGGAAAGUUCACACUGUGACGGUAUCUUACCAGAAAGGGACGGCUAACUACGUG
rnacentral:rRNA from 1 species